CAAAGGAAUUGACGGGGACCCGCACAAGCGGUGGAUGAUGUGGUUUAAUUCGAUGCAACGCGAAAACCUUACCCACCUUUGACAUGUACGGAAUUUGCCAGAGAUGGCUUAGUGCUCGAAAGAGAGCCGUAACACAGGUGCUGCAUGGCUGUCGUCAGCUCGUGUCGUGAGAUGUUGGGUUAAGUCCCGCAACGAGCGCAACCCUUGUCAGUAGUUGCUACAUUCAGUUGGGCACUCUAAUGAGACUGCCGGUGACAAACCGGAGGAAGGUGGGGAUGACGUCAAGUCCUCAUGGCCCUUAUAGGUGGGGCUACACACGUCAUACAAUGGCCGGUACAAAGGGUCGCAAACCCGCGAGGGGGAGCCAAUCCAUCAAAGCCGGUCGUAGUCCGGAUCGCAGUCUGCAACUCGACUGCGUGAAGUCGGAAUCGCUAGUAAUCGUGGAUCAGCAUGUCACGGUGAAUACGUUCCCGGGUCUU
rnacentral:rRNA from 1 species